AGUUACCUGGAAACGCGGACAAAACAAGAACAUCAACUUCGUCAUGUUUUGGUAAAGCUGUAAUAUCACCGAUACAAAGCUGAAUAAAGCAUUUGCCUAUAUCCGUUCCUACUUCCAGCGCAUCAACAACACGAAUUCCUGUCAUAUCCUUAUCACAAGAUUAAAAUAUUAAGAAUAUUUUAUAAGCCAAACGCCACUUGGUGACUUGAGUAUUUUUAAUAUUAAACCAAAG